rnacentral:rRNA from 1 species
GACAGAGGCCCCAGGCGUUAGGCGGAAUCACUGGGCUUAAAGCGUGUGUAGGCGGAUCGUUAAGUGUCUUGUGAAAUCCCACGGCUCACCCGUGGAACUGCUGGGCAUACUGGCGAUCUUGGGCCAACUAGGGGCAGCCGGAACAAGCGGUGGAGCGGUGAAAUGCGUAGAUAUCGCUUGGAACGCCGAAGGUGAAAACAGGCUGCUGGGGUUGCGCCGACGCUGAGACACGAAAGCCAGGGGAGCAAACAGG